UACGGAGGAUGCGAGCGUUAUCCGGAUUUAUUGGGUUUAAAGGGUGCGUAGGCGGUCCGGAAAGUCAGCGGUAAAAGCCCGGGGCUCAACCCCGGCGAGCUGUUGAAACUGUCGGACUAGAGACGGCGAGAAGUACGCGGAAUGCGCGGUGUAGCGGUGAAAUGCAUAGAUAUCGCGCAGAACUCCGAUUGCGAAGGCAGCGUACCGGCGCCGGACUGACGCUGAGGCACGAAAGCGUGGGUAUCGAACAGG
rnacentral:rRNA from 1 species